rnacentral:rRNA from 1 species
AUAUUACUAAGCGGAGGAAAAGAAAUUAACGAAGAUUGCCUCAGUAGCGGCGAGCGAAGUGGCAAAAGCUCAAUUCGAAUCUGUGGCCUACGGCCAUUGAAUUGUAAUCUAAAGGAGUAGACAAAAGGGGAAAUUGAGGUAUAAGUUGCUUGGAACAGCACGCCAAAGAGGGUGACAGCCCCGUAUUCGACCUCGAUUGAACCGAAUGUCUGUUUCAGAGAGUCGGGUUGUUUGGGAUUGCAGCCCUAAAUGGGAGAUAAACUUCUUCUAAGGCUAAAUAUUGAUGGAGACCGAUAGCGCACAAGUA